rnacentral:rRNA from 1 species
CACGUAGGAGGCGAGCGUUGUCCGGAAUCAUUGGGCGUAAAGAGCGCGCAGGCGGCUUGGCAAGUCGGGUGUGAAAUCCCGGGGCUCAACCCCGUGACUGCAUCCGAUACUGUCAGGCUAGAGGUAGGUAGGGGAGAUCGGGAUUCCUGGUGUAGCGGUGAAAUGCGCAGAUAUCAGGAGGAACACCGGUGGCGAAGGCGGAUCUCUGGGCCUUACCUGACGCUCAGGCGCGAAAGCUAGGGGAGCGAACAGG